GACGAACGCUGGCGGCGUGCUUAACACAUGCAAGUCGAGCGGUAAGGCCCUUUCGGGGGUACACGAGCGGCGAACGGGUGAGUAACACGUGGGUAAUUUGCCCUUGGGUGUGGAAUAACUCAGGGAAACUUGAGCUAAUACCGCAUGACAUCCCCUUCUCACAGGAGUUGGGGAUCAAAAGCCGGGGACCCUUCGGGGCCUGGCGCCUGAGGAGAAGCCCGCGCCCGAUUAGCUAGUUGGUGAGGUAAUGGCUCACCAAGGCUUCGAUCGGUAGCCGGCCUGAGAGGGCGGACGGCCACACUGGGACUGAGACACGGCCCAGACUCCUACGGGAGGCAGCAGUGGGGAA
rnacentral:rRNA from 1 species